CGCAAUGAAAUGCUGCAUUUUUCUACAUUUGAUAACCAUGGUACAUCCAAUACAUUUUCCAAGCAACUUGCAUUACUACUCUCUUCUGGAUCGCUCAAAUAAGAAUCUAAAUCACCACAGAGUAUCGAUGAUAUUUCACUUGACAACAGUUUUGAUGAUUCCCCAUAGUCAGCAGCAGACUUAAAGUUGAAACUUUCAGCAGCUAUUUCACUGAGAGACUUAGAAGAAUCAUUAGAGGGUUUAGAAGAUGGAGAUCCAUAUUGUUUUAGGGCAACACCAUUGGCUGAAGUUGAAGGGGAAACAGGUUUCCAUUGCUUUGAUAAUUUAGUAGCGGCACGGAACAAAGAUGUUAGGGUUUUG
rnacentral:misc_RNA from 1 species